rnacentral:rRNA from 1 species
ACUCCUACGGGAGGCAGCAGUGGGGAAUUUUCCGCAAUGGGCGAAAGCCUGACGGAGUAACGCUGCGUGAGGGAUGAAGGCCUCUGGGCUGUAAACCUCUUUUCUCAAGGAAGAAGAUCUGACGGUACUUGAGGAAUAAGCCACGGCCAAUUCCGAGCCAGCAGCCGCGGUAAU